UCGCAGUCUCUUCCUUCAUCUUAAAGGCUUCUUCUGCUUGGGCAUAUCCUUCGGCCCGAGCUAGAAAAUCGGCAAAAUCCCUGGGGUACUUCUUUUCUAAGGAGAACAGAAGGUCGUUCUUCUGAAGGUCGCCUUUUAGAGCGGCCAUCACGAUCGAUUGAUCCAAGUUCUGAACCUCCAAUGCAGCGACGUUAAAAUGGUUGAC
rnacentral:lncRNA from 1 species